rnacentral:rRNA from 1 species
AACGAACGCUGGCGGCAGGCCUAACACAUGCAAGUCGAACGGACGUAGCAAUACGUUAGUGGCGCACGGGAGAGUAACGCGUGGGAACCUACCUUUUGGUUCGGGAUAACAUCGGGAAACUGGUGCUAAUACCGGAUAAGCCCUUCGGGGGAAAGAUUUAUUGCCGAAAGAUGGGCCCGCGUUGGAUUAGCUAGUUGGUGAGGUAAUGGCUCACCAAGGCAACGAUCCAUAGCUGGUCUGAGAGGAUGAUCAGCCUCACUGGGACUGAGACACGGCCCAGACUCCUACGGGAGGCAGCAGUGGGGAAUAUUGGACAAUGGGGGAAACCCUGAUCCAGUCAUGCCGCGUGAAUGAUGAAGGCCUUCGGGUUGUAAAGUUCUUUUGGUGGGGACGAUGAUGACGGUACCCACAGAAUAAGCUCCGGCUAACUUCGUGCCAGCCGCCGCAGUAG